AGGUCUUCCUCCUCUGUGAUUCCUCCACUUCACAGUGAAGACACUCAAGACUGCAGAGAGGGCUGAACACAUAAAAGAAGCUGAACAUUAUGCAGCGUAUUCAGUUGCACUGGACCUAUAUGUUGAUCUGCUCUGCAGCAGAAUACAAGGAUCAGGUGUGUGACUGCAAGGAAGAGUCAUCAGUCAGUCAUCACUGUCCCAGUGACAGUCCCACCUUUAUGCAGCUUCAAGCUCCUCCCUAAACCAGCUG
ensembl:lncRNA